GAUGAGCGCUGGCGGCGUGCCUAAUACAUGCAAGUCGAGCGAACGGACGAGAAGCUUGCUUUUCUGAUGUUAGCGGCGGACGGGUGAGUAACACGUGGAUAACCUACCUAUAAGACUGGGAUAACUUCGGGAAACCGGAGCUAAUACCGGAUAAUAUUUUGAACCGCAUGGUUCAAAAGUGAAAGACGGUCUUGCUGUCACUUAUAGAUGGAUCCGCGCUGCAUUAGCUAGUUGGUAAGGUAACGGCUUACCAAGGCAACGAUGCAUAGCCGACCUGAGAGGGUGAUCGGCCACACUGGAACUGAGACACGGUCCAGACUCCUACGGGAGGCAGCAGUAGGGAAUCUUCCGCAAUGGGCGAAAGCCUGACGGAGCAACGCCGCGUGAGUGAUGAAAGUCUUCGGAUCGUAAAACUCUGUUAUUAGGGAAGAACAUAUGUGUAAGUAACUGUGCACAUCUUGACGGUACCUAAUCAGAAAGCCACGGCUAACUACGUGCCAGCAGCCGCGGUAAUACGUAAGUGGCAAGCGUUAUCCGGAAUUAUUGGGCGUAAAGCGCGCGUAGGCGGUUUUUUAGUCUGAUGUGAAAGCCCACGGCUCAACCGUGGAGGGUCAUUGGAAACUGGAAAACUUGAGUGCAGAAGAGGAAAGUGGAAUUCCAUGUGUAGCGGUGAAAUGCGCAGAGAUAUGGAGGAACACCAGUGGCGAAGGCGACUUUCUGGUCUGUAACUGACGCUGAUGUGCGAAAGCGUGGGGAUCAAACAGGAUUAGAUACCCUGGUAGUCCACGCCGUAAACGAUGAGUGCUAAGUGUUAGGGGGUUUCCGCCCCUUAGUGCUGCAGCUAACGCAUUAAGCACUCCGCCUGGGGAGUACGACCGCAAGGUUGAAACUCAAAGGAAUUGACGGGGACCCGCACAAGCGGUGGAGCAUGUGGUUUAAUUCGAAGCAACGCGAAGAACCUUACCAAAUCUUGACAUCCUUUGACAACUCUAGAGAUAGAGCCUUCCCCUUCGGGGGACAAAGUGACAGGUGGUGCAUGGUUGUCGUCAGCUCGUGUCGUGAGAUGUUGGGUUAAGUCCCGCAACGAGCGCAACCCUUAAGCUUAGUUGCCAUCAUUAAGUUGGGCACUCUAAGUUGACUGCCGGUGACAAACCGGAGGAAGGUGGGGACGACGUCAAAUCAUCAUGCCCCUUAUGAUUUGGGCUACACACGUGCUACAAUGGACAAUACAAAGGGCAGCGAAACCGCGAGGUCAAGCAAAUCCCAUAAAGUUGUUCUCAGUUCGGAUUGUAGUCUGCAACUCGACUACAUGAAGCUGGAAUCGCUAGUAAUCGUAGAUCAGCAUGCUACGGUGAAUACGUUCCCGGGUCU
rnacentral:rRNA from 1 species